rnacentral:rRNA from 1 species
GAUGAACGCUGGCGGCGUGCCUAAUACAUGCAAGUCGAGCGAACGGACGAGAAGCUUGCUUCUCUGAUGUUAGCGGCGGACGGGUGAGUAACACGUGGAUAACCUACCUAUAAGACUGGGAUAACUUCGGGAAACCGGAGCUAAUACCGGAUAAUAUUUUGAACCGCAUGGUUCAAAAGUGAAAGACGGUCUUGCUGUCACUUAUAGAUGGAUCCGCGCUGCAUUAGCUAGUUGGUAAGGUAACGGCUUACCAAGGCAACGAUGCAUAGCCGACCUGAGAGGGUGAUCGGCCACACUGGAACUGAGACACGGCCCAGACUCCUACGGGAGGCAGCAGUAGGGAAUCUUCCGCAAUGGGGGAAAGCCUGACGGAGCAACGCCGCGUGAGUGAUGAAGGUCUUCGGAUCGUAAAACUCUGUUAUUAGGGAAGAACAUAUGUGUAAGUAACUGUGCACAUCUUGACGGUACCUAAUCAGAAAGCCACGGCUAACUACGUG